CAGGACGCGGGUUGAUUUCAUAUUCCAAAAACUGGGAUAUGAAAUCAGCCCACGUCCUGACGGAUAAUCUGUGAUGAGAUUUGAACAUUGUCUUUCAGCAGGUCUUCGCUCAUAGCACAGAUAAUGGAAUGGGAUUGUGGACACUUCUAGAAGGCUUUCUGCUUCUUGCAAAUGCUCUGGCCAUACUAAAUGAAGAUCGUUUCCUUGCCCCUAGGGGAUGGAGCUUCCUGGAGUAUUCUGGAAUUAAGAGAAACUCAUUGAAAGGGCAGAUACUUGGUCUUAUUUACGCAACUCAGUACUUAAUUAAGAGUGCCUCUCAUACUUCUAUGCAUUAUUGUGAAAAUGGUAUCAGGGUGAUGCUUGCCUCCCUUAAUUUAAAGGGAUUGUUUCACUUUUCAUGUAUGCAUCGAACUGCUUUGCUUUGUUUAAGGGGGUUUCCUUGUCCUUGGCCACAUAUAUGUUUGAUAAAAAUAGAGAUAUUGAACUAGAAUGUAUUUUAAUAAGUUGCUAUACUUA